AAAGGGGAGCAAUCCCUGAGUAGAGUGGCAAACGGGUGAGUAACACGUGGGUGACCUGCCUUCGAGUGGGGGAUAACGUCCCGAAAGGGACGCUAAUACCGCAUGACAUCCUGUCCUUAGACGGACGGAGAUCAAAGCUAGGGAUCGCAAGACCUGGCGCUUGAAGAGGGGCCCGCGCCUGAUUAGCUAGUUGGUGAGGUAACGGCUCACCAAGGCUACGAUCAGUAUCCGGCCUGAGAGGGCGGACGGACACACUGGGACUGAGACACGGCCCAGACUCCUACGGGAGGCAGCAGUGGGGAAUUGUUCGCAAUGGGCGCAAGCCUGACGACGCAACGCCGCGUGGAGGAUGAAGAUCUUCGGGUCGUAAACUCCUGUCGAAUGGGAAGAAUGUUUCGUGGAUGAAUAAGCCGCGAAAGUGACGGUACCAUUAAAGGAAGCCCCGGCUAACUCCGUGCCAGCAGCCGCGGUAAUACGGGGGGGGCAAGCGUUGUUCGGAAUUACUGGGCGUAAAGGGCUCGUAGGUGGCCAACUAAGUCAGACGUGAAAUCCCCAGGCUCAACUUGGGAACUGCGUCUGAUACUGGAUGGCUUGAAUUCGGGAGAGGGAUGCAGAAUUCCAGGUGUAGCGGUGAAAUGCGUAGAUAUCUGGAGGAAUACCGGUGGCGAAGGCGGCAUCCUGGACCGAGAUUGACACUGAUGAGCGAAAGCUAGGGGAGCAAACGGGAUUAGAUACCCCGGUAGUCCUAGCCCUAAACGAUGAAUGCUUGGUGUGACGGGUAUCGAUCCCUGUCGUGCCGAAGCUAACGCA
rnacentral:rRNA from 1 species